rnacentral:rRNA from 1 species
CACGGUCCAGACUCCUACGGGAGGCAGCAGUGGGGAAUAUUGCACAAUGGGCGCAAGCCUGAUGCAGCCAUGCCGCGUGUAUGAAGAAGGCCUUCGGGUUGUAAAGUACUUUCAGCGGGGAGGAAGGGAGUAAGGUUAAUAACCUUGCUCAUUGACGUUACCCGCAGAAGAAGCACCGGCUAACUCCGUGCCAGCAGCCGCGGUAAUACGGAGGGUGCAAGCGUUAAUCGGAAUUACUGGGCGUAAAGCGCACGCAGGCGGUCUGUCAAGUCGGAUG